GCGGCGGUCGUCUAGCCUGGACUAGGAUGCUGGCCCCCCGAGCCAGUGAGCCCGGGUUCAAAUCCCGGCCGCCGCACCA
rnacentral:tRNA from 1 species